AUUGAACGCUAGCGGGAUGCCUUACACAUGCAAGUCGAACGGAUUGGCGAACGGGUGAGUAAUGUAUCGGAACGUGCCCAGUAGCGGGGGAUAACUACGCCAACGCGUAGCUAUUACCGAAUCCUAUUGCCGCGGCCGAUAGCGGAUUAGCUAGUGGGUGGGGUAACGGCCAACCAAGGCGACGACCCGUAGCUGGUUUGAGAGGACGACCAGCCACACUGGGACUGAGACACGGCCCAGACUCCUACGGGAGGCAGCAGUGGGGAAUUUUGGACAAUGGGGGAAACCCUGAUGCAGCCAUCCCGCGUGUGCGAUGAAGGCCUUCGGGUUGUAAAGCACUUUUGGCAGGAAAGCGGUACCUGCAGAAGAAGCACCGGCUAACUACGUGCCAGCAGCCGCGGUAAUUC
rnacentral:rRNA from 1 species